rnacentral:snoRNA from 1 species
AUCCCGUGGUGAGGGCAAGCCAAGAAGUACUCUUGGAAGCGCUCCCACACUUCAGGGAUCGUCUCUUCUAAUGUCUGUUGGAAGUUGGAAAUUCUUCCACAAAGGGC